CACGUAGGCACCAAGCGUUGUCCGGAUUUAUUGGGCGUAAAGAGCUCGUAGGCGGUUCAGUAAGUCGGGUGUGAAAACUCUGGGCUCAACCCAGAGACGCCACCCGAUACUGCUGUGACUUGAGUACGGUAGGGGAGUGGGGAAUUCCUGGUGUAGCGGUGAAAUGCGCAGAUAUCAGGAGGAACACCGAUGGCGAAGGCAGUUCUCUGGGCCGUAACUGACGCUGAGGAGCGAAAGCGUGGGGAGCGAACAGG
rnacentral:rRNA from 1 species